GUUAGGAAUAUUGGACAAUGGGCGAAAGCCUGAUCCAGCCAUGCCGCGUGAACGAUGAAGGCCUUCGGGUUGUAAAGUUCUUUAGCCGAUGAUUAUAAUGACUGUAGUCGGAAAAUAAGCCCCGGCUAACUUCGUGCCAGCAGCCGCGGUAAUACGAAGGGGGCGAGCGUUAUUCGGAAUCACUGGGCGUAAAGCGUGCGUAGGCGGUUUUGUAAGUUAGGAGUGAAAGCCCAGGGCUCAACCUUGGAAUUGCUCUUAAAACUGCAAGGCUCGAAUCUCGGAGAGGAUAGCGGAAUUUCCAGUGUAGCAGUGAAAUGCGUAGAUAUUGGAAGGAACACCAGUGGCGUAAGCGGCUAUCUGGACGAGUAUUGACGCUGAGGCACGAAAGCGUGGGGAGCAAACAGGAUUAGAUACCCUGGUAGUCC
rnacentral:rRNA from 1 species